AUUAUUGUUGUGGAGAACAACUGAUCCACUUCAACUUCAACAUCUGUUCUCUUUGCAAAUCGGCCUUUGAUCCUGGGUCUGGUCUCUGCAUAUGCCUUCCUUGAAGCAUACCUUAUUGUCUUCUCAAAUUUCCUUGUCUUCUUUUUCUCUCUGUAUCUUAGCACCCUUGCCUCCCUAUCCCUUGGACUAAGUUGGGAUGGCAUCUGCAUGGGAGGACUGGAGAAAAGGUC
rnacentral:misc_RNA from 1 species